rnacentral:lncRNA from 1 species
GUGUUAUUGGAUGAAUUAUGUGCCCCUCCCAAUUCAUAUGUUGGAAUCCCAACUCCCCAGUAAUUUUGACUGUGACUGUGUUUGGAGAUAGGAUCUUUAAACAUGUGAUUAAAUAAAAAUAAAGUCUUUAGUCUAAUCCAGUAUGACUAUUAUCCUAAGAGGAGGAAAUUUGGACACAGACAUGUGUGCACACAGAGGGAAAAUGAUGUGAAGAGACAGGGAGAAGAUGGCCAUCUACAAGCCAAGGAGAGAGACCUCAGAAGGAACCAACCCUGCUGACACCUUGAUCUUGGACUUCCAGCCUCUAGAACUGAGAAAAUUAAUUUCUGUUGUUUCAGCCCCCAGUCUGUGAUGUCAUGGCAGCCUUAUAAACUAAUACAGUGGCCAACUCCCAGUGAAAACCCUGGGCACCAGGGAGCUUCCCAGGUUGGACGUAAACACAUGUGUGUUGUCACAUCAUUGUUGGGAGAAUUAAGCACUGUCCAAUAACUCCACAGGGAGGAGACAACUGGAAGCUUGCGCCUGGUCUCUCCUGGACCCUGCUCCACGUGCCUUUUAAUUGCUGAUUUUAAUCUGUAUUGUUCCCUUGUGAUACAGCAUGAGAAUGACAACUUUGCUGAGUUCCGUGAGUCCUUCUAGUGAAUCCUGGAACCCAUGGGUGGUCCUGGGAGACCUCCCACCAUACAGAUGCACAGAGAUGGAAAUGACUCCCCAUUUCCAAGGCAAGUGUAUGAAAUAGGAGCUCUCUUUCCAGGACCUUGGGCUCAAGCCUUACCAAGACCUUCCUCAUGCCUUGCUGGAAGUGGCUUUUCUAGCCAUUCAAAUCAGAGGAUCUGGUGGGACUUUUUACCCACCUCCUAUUAAAGCCCCACAAGGGGCAGAAUUAAGCUGUUCCAAGCUGCAGCAUGACCUCGGGAGAGCGAACUACCUGCGAGGCCAUCCAGCAUCAUGGUGGAAGGAGGGAUCAGGUUUUGGGGUCACACCAGGCUGGAUAUGAAUUCCUCCCCAAUCCACCAUGUGAUCUUGGGACAACCUCUCUCCCUCUAUGAGCCUCAGUGUCUGAAUCUCCAAAAUUGUCUGGAAUACCCAAUAAAAUCCCAUAUGGAGAGAAACAAAUGUUAUUGUACUCUCAUUCUGGCCAGUCAUUCUUCUUCAGAUCUAGAAAAGAUUGGCUCAAACCUCUUUCAACAUCCUUGCCAAGAUUUUGGAGAAUCUCUAGAUGAUUAUUUUCUCAUGGUCUCAUGUUGUGGCUGAAUUAACAGUUUCAUGGUAAACUCAAUAUUCCUGGUCUAGAGGAUGAGGAACUGGCUUCUUUCCUUGACUUCAGCAGAAACCCUCUCACAUAAGGAUACUAGGUGUGGAGUGGGUUUUAUUAAAGGAUAGAGGAGUGAAGGGAGAGUUGACAUCACAACAGCAUCAAUUUAACAUUGUCUAUUCGACAUCUCUGUUCCAAUCCAGCUUACCUUGGCCACCUCAUCUGGCAUCCUAGAGUCUUGCCAUCACAUUACCUUCCCAUCUAUCCAUCCAUCUAUCCAUCCGUCCAUCCAUCCAUCCAUCCAUUUGUUCAUUCACUCAUCAAGUAAAUUUUGAGUGGCCACUGGGCCUCAUGAAGCAUGGGCAUAUGGAUCCCCAGCUCUCUGCUCAGUCAAGUGGGUGAAAUAGACAUUGAUCAAAUAAUCAUAUAGAUGAAUACAAAAUCACUGAUGUAAUGAGAAUGAGGGGAUAAUGAGCACCUGAUGUAGCUGCGGGGUGGUGAGGAGAGGCUUCCCUGAGGAAGUGGGGUUUGCCUUGAGCAAACCAUCUCAAAUCUCAAAGCCAGGGAGGCAUUAACUCUGGGAGGGAGUGGAGAGAUGAGGGCAGCUUUUACAAAGAUCCUGUGGCACCAUCUUUGUCUACCCCUUCCUUUUCUGAUUCUGCGGCAUGGAGAAAUGCCCCAGGCCAGGGAUUGAACUCACACCACAACAGCAGUCCAAGCCACUGGAGUGACAAUGCCAGGUCCUUAACCUGCUGUGCCACAGAACUCUUUAUUUUUUCAGUCCCUUUUGGCCUCCCUGCCACUUGUCAUUUGCAACCAUCUAUAUGAAGGUUUGCAAACUAGGGCCGGGAGGCCCAAUCUGGCUCUUGAGCAAUGAAUGAUUUUUAAAUUUUUAAAAUGGUUGAAAACAAAAGACUACAUUUCAGGAACCAAAUCUCACACUACUUUUGAUAAUGUCAUUUGGUAAUUAAGAUGUUCAAAUUUAGUGUCCAUGAGAAAAGAGUGAUAAACAUAUAAUUAACAUGUCCAGUAAUAUGUAAUUUUAAUUAAUUAAUUAAUUUGUUUAUUUUGUUUAUUAUUGCUUUUUAGGCCUGCAUCUGUGGCAUAUGGAGGUUCCCAGGCUGGGGUCAAAUCGGAGCUGCAGCUGCUGGUCUACACCACAGCCAUAGCAACACAGGAUCUGAGCCGCAUCUGCAAACCACACCACACCUCACAGCAAUGCCAGAUCCUUAACUCACUGAGCGAGGCCAGAGAUUGAAUCCAUAUCCUUGUGGAUACUAGUCAGGCUAGUUACAGCUGAGCCAUCUUGGGAACUCCCAGUGAUAUGUAAUUUUAGAAAGUCUACACUGGAUGGCAGAUUUUAGAGAGGAUUUUCUGGGUUGCAAAUUAAUUAGGGUUUUUCUGCAAUAGAUAGUCGAUAUAGACGGCGGUACCUUCCUCCUGAUAUCUGCUUUGUGACAUGUAGUUGAGAUAUUUUGGUAGUUAUAUUUGGGAACACCUGCUGCCAGGUAGCUGUAUUAGGAGAGGCAACUAUGUAGGAGGGUUUCUGGGGCAGGGUGGGGGAGAAAAGGAGUGAACAAAUACUAAAAUCCAAAAGCCAGAUCCAUUUCUGCAGUAUUUUUUACUUUCUUUAAAACAAACAAAACUCCCCCUACACGCCAUAUUUUAUCACUACAAUUUGGGAAAGAGGAAUACACAGAAGGUAGAUAUUAGUUAAGAAUCUUUCUGCAUCAUUUUGAUGACUACAGUACAUUUCUCAACGCAACAGUAAAAAAUGCUAUAUUUUGUGACAUGGAAGAUAAUAUGAAAUUCAAGUUUUGGUGCCUACACUGGCCAAGACAUGGAAACGAUCUAAAUGUCUUCAACAGAUAAUGUAUAAAGAAGAUAUGGCACAUAUAGACAAUGGAAUAAAACUCAUCUACAAAAAAAAAAAAUGAAAUCAUGGGAGUUUCCAUUGUAGUGCUGUGGAAACAGAUCUGGCUAGCAGCCCAUGAAGACGUGGGUUCCAUCUGUGGCCUCAUUCAGUGGGUUAAAGGAUCUGGCAUUGCCACAAGCUGUGGUGUAGGUCACAGAUGCGGCUUGGAUCCUGAGUUGCUGCGGCUGUGGUGUACGCUGGCAGCUGUAGCUCCGACUCGACCCCUAUCUAGGCUGGGAACCUCCAUAUGCCGCGGGUGCGGUCCUAAAAAGACAAAAAAAAAAAAAAAAAAAAAAAAAAAAAA